rnacentral:tRNA from 1 species
GCGGAUGUAGUUCAGUGGUAGAACGUCUCCUUGCCAAGGAGAAGGCCGCCGGUUCGAACCCGGUCAUCCGCU